CACAGACAACCAGGAUGUUGGCUUAGAAGCAGCCACUCAUUCAAAGAGUGCGUAAUAGCUCACUGGUCGAGUGAUCCUGCGCCGAAGAUUUCCGGGGCUAAAACUUACUACCGAAGCUACGGCAUCAGUAAUGAUGGGUAGGGGAGCUUCCCAUACGGGUUGAAGCAUGACCGGAAGGACAUGUGGACAGUAUGGGAGUGAGAAUGUUGGCAUGAGUAGCGAGAUGUGGGUGAGAAUCCCACAGGCCGUAAACCCAAGGUUUCCAGGGGAAGGUUCGUCCGCCCUGGGUUAGUCGGGACCUAAGCUGAGGCCGAAAGGCGUAGGUGAUGGACAACAGGUUGAUAUUCCUGUACUACCGAUAACCGUUUGAGAGAAGGGAUGACACAGUAGGAUAAGC
rnacentral:rRNA from 1 species